UAUGAGCAUUAUAAGGGAAUAAAGUAGACGGUAGGAUAGACACAAAUCAACAGCCCAGAGCAGUGUUCAUGAGUAAUAACUACUAAUAAGCCUGCUCUGGUGUCUCCAGAGCAGAUAGGAAGGCUGAUGAAAAUGGGAAUGUAGUUUAGAAGAGAAAAGGUGAAUCAGUGAUCCUUGCUUCGUGUUUUCGGUAGAAGCUGCCAUGUCACCUAAUGACCACUAGAUGUCAGAAAGGCCACUUUAUUUUAACUCCCUUCAUUUAGCAUUUCUAAGCACUGUAUAAACAUUAAAAUGUCUUGUUUUUAACACCCUUUAAUAUAGUUGUAAGAAGGAGGAUUUAAGUUUGUUAUAAACCAUUUAUUAAAUCUUUGUAUGCUGCUUAGAAAUGCUAAAUAAGGUCAAAGUAAAGUGUUCCAAUAUGUUAUCCAUCGGGUACUUCCCAUCUUUGUUUUUUUUUUAUAAAUCUUUUGAUUUGCAAAAAAGAACAGCAGUUACUUACAGACAUUUGGCAACAGACAUUUUGUUUUGCUCCCCCCACCCUCACAUACUGCCUAUGCAAAUAAUAGUUAUACAGAAAAAAAAAAAAAAAAGUAAAAAAGUACUUAUUUCCAACAUAUAUACAGGGUAUU